rnacentral:rRNA from 1 species
UACGUAGGGUGCAAGCGUUAAUCGGAAUUACUGGGCGUAAAGCGUGCGCAGGCGGUUUUGUAAGUCUGUCGUGAAAUCCCCGGGCUCAACCUGGGAAUUGCGAUGGAGACUGCAAGGCUAGAAUCUGGCAGAGGGGGGUAGAAUUCCACGUGUAGCAGUGAAAUGCGUAGAGAUGUGGAGGAACACCGAUGGCGAAGGCAGCCCCCUGGGAUAACACUGACGCUCAUGCACGAAAGCGUGGGGAGCAAACAGG